ACGUACACUCCUGCGGGAGGCAGCAGUGGGGAAUUUUGGACAAUGGGCGAAAGCCUGAUCCAGCCAUGCCGCGUGCAGGAUGAAGGCCUUCGGGUUGUAAACUGCUUUUGUACGGAACGAAACGGCCUUUUCUAAUAAAGAGGGCUAAUGACGGUACCGUAAGAAUAAGAACCGGCUAACUACGUGCCAGCAGCCGCGGUAAUACGUAGGGUGCAAGCGUUAAUCGGAAUUACUGGGCGUAAAGCGUGCGCAGGCGGUUAUGUAAGACAGUUGUGAAAUCCCCGGGCUCAACCUGGGAACUGCAUCUGUGACUGCAUAGCUAGAGUACGGUAGAGGGGGAUGGAAUUCCGCGUGUAGCAGUGAAAUGCGUAGAUAUGCGGAGGAACACCGAUGGCGAAGGCAAUCCCCUGGACCUGUACUGACGCUCAUGCACGAAAGCGUGGGGAGCAAACAGGAUUAGAUACCCGGGUAGUCCCA
rnacentral:rRNA from 1 species